GGAUUCCCCUAGUAACUGCGAGUGAAGCGGGAAAAGCUCAAAUUUAAAAUCUAAUGGUCCUUGGCCAUUCGAGUUGUAAUUUAGAGAAGCGUCUUCCGCGCCAGACCAUGUACAAGUCUCCUGGAACGGAGCGUCAUAGAGGGUGAGAAUCCCGUCUUUGACAUGGACCCUUGGUGCUUCUGUGAUGCGCUCUCAAAGAGUCGAGUUGUUUGGGAAUGCAGCUCAAAAUGGGUGGUGAACUCCAUCUAAGGCUAAAUAUUGGCGAGAGACCGAUAGCGAACAAGUACCGUGAGGGAAAGAUGAAAAGCACUUUGGAAAGAGAGUGAAACASUACGUGAAAUUGUUGAAAGGGAAACACUUGAAGUCAGUCGCGUCGAUCGAGACUCAGCCCUUGCCCUUGGCUUGGCGUACUUCUCGACUUGACGGGCCAGCAUCAAUUUCGUCCCUCGGAUAAUGGCAGGGGAAAGGUGGCACCUUCACCGGUGUGUUAUAGUCUCUUGUCGCAUGCGAGGGGUGGGAUUGAGGAACUCAGCACGCACCUCACGGUGUCGGGGCUUCGGCCCACGUUACGUGCUCAGGAUGCCGGCGUAAUGGCUUUAAAUGACCCGUCUUGAAACACGGACCAAGGAGUCUAACAUGCCUGCGAGUGUUCGGGUGGAAAACCCGUGUGCGUAAUGAAAGUAAAAGUUGGGACCUCUGUCGUGGAGGGCACCGACGCCCGGACCAGACCUUCUGUGACGGAUCUGCGGUAGAGCAUGCAUGUUGGGACCCGAAAGAUGGUGAACUAUGCCUGAAUAGGGUGAAGCCAGAGGAAACUCUGGUGGAGGCUCGUAGCGAUUCUGACGUGCAAAUCGAUCGUCAAAUUUGGGUAUAGGGGCGAAAGACUAAU
rnacentral:rRNA from 2 species